rnacentral:rRNA from 1 species
AGCAUAUCAAUAAGCGGAGGAAAAGAAACUAACAAGGAUUCCCCUAGUAACUGCGAGUGAAGCGGGAAAAGCUCAAAUUUAAAAUCUGGCGGUCUCUGGCCGUCCGAGUUGUAAUCUAGAGAAGUGCUGCCCGCGCUGGACCGUGUACAAGUCUCCUGGAAUGGAGCGUCAUAGAGGGUGAGAAUCCCGUCUCUGACACGGACUACCAGGGCUUUGUGGUACGCUCUCAAAGAGUCGAGUUGUUUGGGAAUGCAGCUCAAAAUGGGUGGUAAAUUCCAUCUAAAGCUAAAUAUUGGCGAGAGACCGAUAGCGAACAAGUACCGUGAGGGAAAGAUGAAAAGAACUUUGGAAAGAGAGUUAAACAGUACGUGAAAUUGCUGAAAGGGAAACGCUUGAAGUCAGUCGCGUUGGCCGGGGAUCAGCCUCGCUUUUUUGCGUGGUGUACUUUCUGGUUGACGGGUCAGCAUCAAUUUUGACCGCUGGAAAAAGGCUUGGGGAAUGUGGCAGCUUCGGCUGUGUUAUAGCCCUUUGUCACAUACAGCGGUUGGGAUUGAGGAACUCAGCACGCCGCAAGGCCGGGUUUCGACCACGUUCGUGCUUAGGAUGCUGGCAUAAUGGCUUUAAGCGACCCGUCUUGAAACACGGACCAAGGAGUCUAACAUGCCUGCGAGU